GACCUGUUUUUGUUGUUCAUGUCCUAAAAUGAUCUCUGUCCUCUCUGGCUCGUCCGCAGGGCUGCAGUUUGAGUUCAUCAACCCCAUCUUUGAGUUUUCAAAAGGCAUGAAUGACCUCCACCUGGAUGAGGCAGAGUACGCUUUGCUCAUCGCUAUCAACAUUUUCUCAGCAGACCGACCGAACGUGCAGGAUCACGAGUUAGUGGAAAGACUACAGCAGCCAUAUGUGGACGCUCUCCACUCUUACAUCAGAAUAAAACGACCCAAUGAUCAUCUGAUGUUUCCCCGGAUGCUGAUGAAGCUGGUCAGCCUACGCACACUGAGCAGCGUCCACUCAGAGCAAGUCUUUGCUCUGCGCCUCCAAGACAAGAAACUCCCACCUCUGCUUUCUGAAAUUUGGGAUGUCCACGAGUGAGCCAGCGCUCCACCUCCAGGACAGAAUGAGCCAGUGUCAGGAAAACAUGGGUGGGCAGGGGUCCUCUACAGACAGAACACAGGGUUCAUGAUGUCCUUAAGGGCUGAAAUGUCUCCCAUUGUCACAAGAAGCCUGGUUUUUUUAUUCUCUUCCAUGACUUCUAUAUUUUAGACCCAGUGGUCAGUGAGCUGCUUCAUUUGAAUGUGCUAUUGAUAGACUGUAUGGCCAGAAGUAGCUCAGGGACUGUUCAGAACAGGUGAUGGUUAUUUGACCAUGAUCAUUUGGGCUUGGGCAUCUGGAUGGGUUUGGAUUCAGAGACUGACUUGCUGGAGUGAGCAGCCACAAACGGAGUGGUCAUGAUUUUUUUAGUUGUUGUUUUUGUUUAUACCUAAUGUUUCCAGUACCAAAAGCUUUGAGCAGGUUUUGGCAAUGGUUUCUACUUUCUAAUUAACAGAAGAGGUUGUCAUGAAGGUUCUUCAUUACAGAAAUGUAGUUUAUUUACAGUGUUUUUGUGAUUCCACUCUGACUGAUUGAUUUGAAUUUUUUUUUUUACAUGGAUAGAUCAUGCACAGCAAUGAGUAACAAACACAGUCUUCUGUUAGUGCAAACUCAUUCGCUCAGUUUUAUAACAUGAUGUUUGACAUGCAUUUAGUCUCCAAUUAAUGUUAAACCGCAAUCUUCUGUUAACAUCCAAAGGUUUUUAUGGACAAAAUCAAUCAGUGCUUUACCAGUACAAGCCAUUCAGAGCCUGUGUUACACUGAUCCAGCAUAUCACAAGGUACACAAGGAAUUCUGUUUUCUGCUGGUUGGAAUAUUCAGAAGAACUGACAAACCGAAUGGCCUGAUUUUGAGGUCGAACGUAUUGCAGAUGUAUUCUGCACACCAACCCAAUGUUUUGGAGUGGUUAAAAGGGCUUACCAGUGUAGCAUAUGGUUGGCAGGGAUCGGUAAGACUCACUGGAGCCAUUAAACCGAAUCAGUGUGCUGCUCAACUCACAGCGACUACUGAGAUACAUAGACAGAUAGAUAACCUUCAAGUGUGAAGCCUUCUGAAAACUUAAUGUAGACCAUGAUUAUUCUUUUUCCAUUACAUUAUCAUGUUUAGUUACUGCAAUCUUCAACCUAAUAUGCUGUAGUUUCUCUUUGUUUGACUCGUCAGUUCUACUUGGACGGCUGAUGUUGUUUGGCAGUUCAUUCUUGAAAACUUAAUAUACAUGCACAACCUAGUUCUCAGUUUGAUGCCUAUCUCGAUCAAUGUGUCAUUUUUGUCCCUGAAUGCAACACAAAUCACAAAUGAGCAGUAUAGUACUAUAUAUCUUCCAAAAUCAGUGGUUGAAAUUGUCAAAGAAAAGUCAUAAUUUUUCUAGUAUCAUUGUUCUAUUUAGUUCUAUAUACACCCAUUCUUCAAUGAGGAUAGUUUUGUCAACUUUUAUUUACACAUGCUAAAUCAUUUCAUUUAAAUUGUAAUUUUCCUUUUUGUGUGAUUUUGAAAUGAUCUAGCAGGCUGUUUUAACAGUUUUGUUGUACCUCACUUGUGCAUUAUGAUGAUAUUCAGAUAGUCUGAAAGCACAACUUAGAAUAAAACCUGUCCCAUCUACAUCAAGAGUGAUCGGCGAUGUAUGCGAAACAACCUUAUUUUGGUAUUAAACUGAACUGUAUCACAGCAGUAGCUCUGAAAAAAGGGACUAGGCAAACGAGAGCUGCUUAUGCUCCGUAGCAAUGCAAAUACCCAGUGUGACCUUGUACAAUUCAGGUUUUACUGAUCUUAAAAACCACUUUUAUGAAAAACAUGGGUUGUGGUGAAUCAAUUACAGAAACUAACAUUGCAAAAAUAACCAUAAUUUCCAUGGUUGACUAAUACAGUUGGUUUGCUGUGGCAUUCUUUGCCCUGCCUGCGCAAAUUAUUGAGACUUUGCUUCCUGAAUCUGAUCAGUUUUUAUACCACCUUUCUAUCAGCUUGUGAAAUUGCUAAAGCACCUUAGUUUUUCUCAAGCUCUUUUUGAUGUCUGAUUAGACGUGUCCAGGCUCAUUUUAUUCGAAGUCAUUUCCGAUCUUUCACAAGGGCUUUUCCUUCAUCCGUUCAUAUUUCCCCAGUUGGCUGAGCAGCCAAACUCAGACAGUUCACAUGAAACUUGGUAUAAAACCCACUGAAAGACAUGCAUCGUUGAACCUCAAUGACCUUCCUGAUGAUUUGUCAUUGCUUAUCAUCUGUUUGUGCACAUAUGAAGUGUGAGGAGGGCAUAGACAAAUUCUAGUAAUCACCGUAAUGAGUGUUUACUCUCGCUGCACUAAGCUUUGUUUUCUCCAAACUGAAAUGAUCAAAUGAUUUUCUAACAGAAUAUUAUUACAUGAGGCAGAGUGUAAUGCAAAGUUGAUUGUGGUUCUAAUUUAUUUGUACCCUCUCAGCUCAGUGGACCUCAUUGCUCUGAUUAACAUUAGUCUUCAAUAGAGAGUCGUGGAAGGUUGACAACAUAGAAAUGCAACCUUAUGUUUUAACGCCUUAAGUCCUUGAAUGUAUACUGCUUUAUAUGUAUAAAUUAAUAGUAGACUAAAUGUAUUGUUCUGUGAGAGUAUAUAUUUAUCUGAUAAAAAAAAAUGCUGAAAAACUUAGAUGACUUAAAGUCUAUUCUUUAUAUUACCUAAAACAGGGAACCUCCGUAUUGUUUGUCUUUUUAUCAUUCUGCUGUUUUUUUUUAAUAGAUCAGGGUUGACCCUGUAAAUAAAUACUGAAUCUGAGCUUACAACAUUGGUGUCAGUGAUCUGUCUAUUAGCAUGUGUGUUAUGUAAG